AUACAGAGGGUGCGAGCGUUAAUCGGAAUUACUGGGCGUAAAGCGCGCGUAGGCGGCUUGGUCAGUCGGAUGUGAAAGCCCCGGGCUCAACCUGGGAAUGGCAUUCGAUACUGCCAGGCUAGAGAAUGGGAGAGGGAAGUGGAAUUUCCGGUGUAGCGGUGAAAUGCGUAGAUAUCGGAAGGAACACCAGUGGCGAAGGCGACUUCCUGGCCCAAUACUGACGCUGAGGUGCGAAAGCGUGGGGAGCGAACAGGAUUAGAAACCCUUGUAGUCC
rnacentral:rRNA from 1 species